rnacentral:rRNA from 1 species
AUGAACAUUAUAUCUGGAUCUUGUUUGAUGCGAGACGGUUAUUCAUUUAAAUCAGAGAAUAAUGGUUGUUCUAUUUAUAUGAGUAAUAUCUUUUAUGGUCAUGCACCCUUGAAGAGUGGUCUAUUUUUAUUGAAUCUCGAUAGUAGUGAUACACAUAUUCAUAAUGUUGAAGCCAAAAGAUACAUAGUUGAUAAUGAUAGUGCAACUUAUUUGUGGAACUGCCGUUUAGGUCAUAUCGGUGUAAAGCGCAUGAAGAAACUCCAUACUGAUGGACUUCUGAAAUCACUUGAUUAUGAAUCACUUGGUACUUGCGAACCGUGCAUCAUGGGGAAGAUGACUAAAACGCCGUUCUCUGGAACUAUGGAGGGAGCAACUGAUUUAUUGGAAAUCAUACAUACUGAUGUAUGUGGUCCAAUGAAUAUUGAGGCUCGCGGCGGGUUUUGUUAUUUUCUCACCUUCACAGAUGAUUUGAGCAGAUAUGGGUAUAUCUACUUGAUGAAACACAAGUCUGAAACAUUUGAAAAGUUCAAAGAAUUUCAGAGUGAAGUGGAAAAUCAUCGUAACAAGAAAAUAAAAUUUCUAUGA